UUUCUACUCCCUCCGUCCGAAAAUACUUGUCAUCAAAAUGGAUAAAAAGAUAUGUAUCUAAAACUAAAAUACGUCUAGAUACAUUUCCUUUUAUCCAUUUUGAUAACAAGUAUUUCCGGACGGCGGGACUAUUUG
rfam:Triticum urartu cultivar G1812 contig678471, whole genome shotgun sequence.